rnacentral:rRNA from 1 species
UACGGAGGGUGCAAGCGUUAUCCGGAUUCACUGGGUUUAACGGGUGCGUAGGUGGGCAGGUAAGUCAGUGGUGAAAUCUCCGGGCUUAACCCGGAAACUGCCAUUGAUACUAUUUGUCUUGAAUACUGUGGAGGUCAGCGGAAUAUGUCAUGUAGCGGUGAAAUGCUUAGAUAUGACAUAGAACACCAAUUGCGAAGGCAGCUGGCUACACAAAUAUUGACACUGAGGCACGAAAGCGUGGGGAUCAAACAGG